ACAGUACAAACUGAGCAGGCGCUGGACAGUGUCCAUGUAGCCGGGCCCUUCGGGCAGCGGAUGUUGAUAAUGAAUCAGAACAUCUGUGGGACAGU
rnacentral:ncRNA from 1 species